CUCUUCCCCCGCGUCGCCCUCUCUACUUCUUCUUCCGAUUUCUUCACCGUCCGGCGUCCGAUUGACGUGAUUCCAGUUGUCCUUGGACCGUCUCUUCCUCCUCUACACGAUGGUACCAGUGGGUAUCGGCGAUUUGGCCGGCAAACCCCGAAUUUAUGCAAGCAUUGUUACUGUAGCAGUUUGCUUCUCCGGCGAACUUCUCCAGUUUCCGGCUAUCUUCGGCGGUGAAAUUGGCUCUAUUAGGAGCGCCUCGGGUCACUGAUCAUCUUCCCUCAAGACUUCUAGUUGGAAUUUCCACGUUUGGAAGGUGAAUUUGAAGGAUUUCCAAAUUUGUGGGUUUGGAGAUUUCCGGGUUUGUGUUCAUCGGCAAAAUUGGAGCAUUUCAAGGGCGAUAUACCGAACUAUUGCUCGAUGAAGGAACUCGUAUGCGUGAUCGCCUAAAUAGUACUUUUGCAGGCCAGUUUAGCUUGAGGUCGAGCGUACUUGGGGUUGAGGCAUAGCUGUCAUAGCUUCCGCAUUAUAAAAGUAUCGGUCAUUUAUCUUGCUUUCUAUUCUCUUGUUCGCCUGUACAUUAGAUUGCUCUGAUAACCUAUGAGAUUAAUAUUCUUAAAUUCAGAAUUGUUUAUGAAAUGAGAGAUGUGAGAUGUUGUGAUAUAGGGAGCAGGGUGGCUCCAGGAGAAUAAGGAUGGAUGAUUUAGAA